CAAUAGCGUAUAUUUAAGUUGUUGCAGUUAAAAAGCUCGUAGUCGGAUUUUGGCUGAGAACGAUCGGUCCGCCGUUAGGUGUGCACUGAUUGGUCUCAGCUUCCUGGUGAGGAGGUGUGCUUCACGGCCACUUAGUCACCGUGGUUACUUUGAAAAAAUUAGAGUGUUCAAAGCGGGCUUACGCUUGAAUAUAUUAGCAUGGAAUAACACCAUAGGACUCCUGUCCUAUUUCGUUGGCCUCGGGACGGGAGUAAUGAUUAAGAGGAACAGUUGGGGGCAUUCGUAUUUCAUUGUCAGAGGUGAAAUUCUUGGAUUUAUGAAAGACGAACUUCUGCGAAAGCAUUUGCCAAGGAUGUUUUCAUUGA
rnacentral:rRNA from 1 species